UUUUUCGGGCUCCUUUUUGUUUGUGCAUCAUUUAGGUGAUCUAAUUGUAUAUGAUCCCAGAAGCUAAGCAGGCUCAGGCCUGGCUAGUACCUGAAUGGGAGACCAUUUGUGGACACCAGAUGCUGUAGAAU
rnacentral:rRNA from 1 species